AUCCCGUGGUGAGGGCAUUCUGAUAUGUAAUCUUAAAAGUGUUCCCAUGCCUCAAGGAUAGAUUCAUCAUACUACUACUGAAAAGUUGAGAUCUUUGCAUGUAGGGC
rnacentral:snoRNA from 1 species